UAAUAAUAGUAAUAAAGGGUUUAUUGAGACAAGCAGCUCUGUAGCUGAAAAUAAACAUUUUACAGGAGAAAUAUCCUAAUAUUACAUGCUUAAAAUUCAUCACAAAUUUAGUCAGUGUCCACGAGUUAAUUAUUUUGAUUAUUGUGGGCACUGCACUAUUUUUGUAUGUGUGUAUCCGGGCCGGGCACGUAUGGGGAGCGGCUUCUGGUGGCGGACACUGUGGCUGGGAAGGGGAGCUGCCGGAGGGAGUAGGCUCCUGUGGCGCCAGUGGAGAAGCUUUGUGGCAAGCUGGUGGAGGAGGUGUUGGUAGCGAGUGUGAAGGGUGGUGAGGUGUAGGGUGUGGAGGGCCUCCUGGCUCAGGCGUGUAGAUGGGAGCAGGAGAAGAAAGAACAAAGGAAGAGGACGAAGAAGAAAGGAAAAAUGGAAGUGGAAGAAGAGGAGGAGCCAAGCCACAAUAUUUAGGUCCGCAGAAAACGACACGCUGAUUUAUUUGAAGUCAAGGAUGGAGAUUAAAACGGCCUUUAAAAACACCACACCCGUUUUGUCCACCGCCAUCACCACCUUCUCCCAGAUCAAGGAAGUGUAUUACGGACUCACACAAAAGGAAGAGCAGUUGUAUUGCACAGCCAAGGAGUUUGUCACAGCAUACCUAAGAAUGCACUUUAUUGUGUCUUGCAGGUUAGCACCCCUAUCACACAAAAAUGUGCAAUCUGAAAUGGAAAAGAAAAAUCUGAUACCAAAUCUAACACACACAAUCAUUCACAAAUAAUCACCACUCCAAUGCUUACCAUAAACUAAUUUGAAGUAAUAUCCCACUCAAUUCAAAACUCAAGAAAACUGCUUGUUCAGCUUUAUAUUCACCCUCGCGUUGGAUUUGGUAAAUUGAGGUUGUUAUUUAAGCCUCAUUAUCACUGCAAUAAAGUACUAAGCAUUAACCUGAACCACGUGACUCCUAUACUGAUCUCCG